rnacentral:rRNA from 14 species
GACUGUCGUCAGCUCGUGUCGUAAGGUGUAAGGUUCAUUCCCUUAACGAGCGCAACUCUUAUCUUUAUUAAAUUUAGCACUUUAAAAAAGUUUAAUAUUUUAAAUUUUUUACAAAGUUUUAAAAGAAACAGUCAAUAAUAAAGUUGAAGGAAGGUAAGAAUUAAGUCAAGUCUCUGUGGCCCUUAUGGGUUGGGCUACACACGUGCUACAAUAGAAAUUACAGAAAGUUACAUUUUAAUAUAAGUUAUCCUCCAAAAAUUUCUUCAGUUCGAAUUAUAAGCUGCAACUCGCUU